AGAACGAACGUUGGCGGCGUGGAUAAGGCAUGCAAGUCGAACGAAUCCCAGAGGGCUUGCUUUCUGGGGAAAGUGGCGAAAGGGGCAGUAAUGCGUGGGUAACCUACCCUCGGGACGGGGAUAGCCUUCCUAACGGAAGGGUAAUACCCGGCGACGUAGCGAAGGGGCAUCUCUUUGCUACCAAAGGAAUCUCGCCCGAGGCGGGGCUCACGUGCUAUUACCUAGUUGGCGGGGUAACGGCCCACCAAGGGAAAGAUGGCUAGCCGGUGUGAGAGCACGACCGGCGCCACUGGCACUGCGACACUGGCCAGACUCCUACGGGAGGCUGCAGUCGAGGAUCUUCGGCAAUGGGCGCAAGCCUGACCGAGCGACGCCGCGUGCGCGAUGAAGGCCUUCGGGUUGUAAAGCGCUGUCGAGGGGGAGGAAAGCCCGUAAGGGUCUGACCUAUCCCUGGAGGAAGCACGGGCUAAGUUCGUGCCAGCAGCCGCGGUAAGACGAACCGUGCGAACGUUGUGCGGAUUCACUGGGCUUAAAGGGCGCGUAGGCGGGUCACCAAGUCCGGGGUGAAAUCCUUCGGCUUAACCGGAGAAUUGCCUGGGAUACUGGUGGUCUCGAGGGAGGUAGGGGCCGCGGGAACUUCCGGUGGAGCGGUGAAAUGCGUUGAUAUCGGAAGGAACGCCGGUGGCGAAAGCGCGCGGCUGGACCUCUUCUGACGCUGAGGCGCGAAAGCCAGGGGAGCAAACGGGAUUAGAUACCCCGGUAGUCCUGGCCCUAAACGAUGGGUACUAGGUAGCGGACUGGACAUGGGUUCGCUGCCGAAGCUAAAGUGCUAAGUACCCCGCCUGGGGAGUAUGGUCGCAAGGCUGAA
rnacentral:rRNA from 1 species